rnacentral:lncRNA from 1 species
GAAUCACGGCUAGUAUGGUUUGCCACUAUGGGUGGGAGCAUAGCUAAUAUGGUUUGCCAUCGUGAACGAGAUUGCGGAUAUUAUGAUUUGUCAAUCAUGGGUGGAAUCAUGACCGUGAUUAGUCUAUGAUCUUAAAGAUAACUGUUGAUUGAUUUAGAUCAUAUUAAUAAGAUAUGGAUGAUCAGAUAUUAAAUUACAAUUAAGUAAAAUAGAGUUUCACUUGAUUAUAUGUGUAUAGUAUAUG